rnacentral:rRNA from 1 species
UGACACUGAACAUUGAGCCUUGAUGUGUAGGAUAGGUGGGAGGCUUUGAAGUGUGGACGCCAGUCUGCAUGGAGCCGACCUUGAAAUACCACCCUUUAAUGUUUGAUGUUCUAACGUGGACCCGUUAUCCGGGUUGCGGACAGUGUCUGGUGGGUAGUUUGACUGGGGCGGUCUCCUCCUAAAGAGUAACGGAGGAGCACGAAGGUUGGCUAAUCCUGGUCGGACAUCAGGAGGUUAGUGCAAUGGCAUAAGCCA